GGGCCCGCACAAGCGGUGGAGCAUGUGGUUUAAUUCGAUGCAACGCGAAGAACCUUACCAGGGUUUGACAUCCUGCGAAUCUCUUGGAAACAGGAGAGUGCCUUCGGGAACGCAGUGACAGGUGGUGCAUGGCUGUCGUCAGCUCGUGUCGUGAGGUGUCAGGUUAAGUCCUAUAACGAGCGCAACCCCUAUCGUUAGUUGCCAGCAAGUAAUGUUGGGGACUCAUAGGAGACUGCCGGUGAUAAACCGGAGGAAGGUGGGGACGACGUCAAGUCAUCAUGCCCCUUAUGUCCAGGCUGCACGCAUGCUACAAUGGCAAGUACAACGAGUCGCAAUACCGCGAGGUAGGAGCA
rnacentral:rRNA from 1 species